GCGAGUCAAGCACAAAGUGACUUUUCCUUUCUUCUCAGGUAGCAUGAAGUGUUACAAGUCAAGCGUGUGACUUUCUGAAAAAAAGAGAUAAAAAGACAUGUGAAGAAGGAAAUGGAUUACAGAAAUGAAAGAAGGGUUCUUUCCCUUGGGUUAGAAUUAUAAAAUUUCCAAGUGAAGGUCCGAGGCUCCCAUCUAAACAUCAGCUGUUGUGAACCUCCUUGCACACACUGGGGAAAGAUGCCCUGUCUGUCCUUCCUCUUCAAGGACAAAGAACCCCAGGGAAACCACUGCAUUAAGGUACAUUGGUGAGACUGCAGCAUCAGCAUGACGGCACAGUAUUAGCUCAGAU
rnacentral:lncRNA from 1 species